rnacentral:lncRNA from 1 species
UCAUAAGCUGCGAUAAAUUCAUGUGUAUAUCUGCCUAUCCGUGCAGUUGUAGCGUGUAAAGUGUGGGACCCUCUAUCCCUUGAAAUGGAGCGAUAAUCCAGCAACAACGUACACCAUGAACUUUCUUGAGUUUUUUUAUUUGUUUUUAGUGUUUUGAGUGCUUUACAGGGUAUUUCCACUUGGCCGCACACUAACUUUUGGACAUUAUCUUUAACGUGGACUUAGUGUGUGGCAGUGGACAGGUGUUUCCACUAAGCGCCCCGGAACCAUACGACAGGUUGCUAUAAAGGCACCAAACCAUUGUUAUAGUAAGAGUGGGUGUAAUUUAAUGCGCAAAUCAUUACAGUUUGGUCGGCAAAUUGCUGGAAUGUGGGCAAUUCGACCGGUCCUGCUGUGAAUUCCACUGGUUAGCGGGCUAUUUGCGGCUGUGGAUAAAGGAAAAUACAAAAGCCAACGUAGGGCCAUGAAGAAGGAAAAUGGCUGACUAUGAAUUUUCCCGCUCGGAAGUUAAUGUCCACUUUGAAAGUUAUCAGCAGGUCUGAGGCCCUGAUAACUAGUGUGCCACUAAGGCGGACUUAGUGUCCGAGGCGUUUCCAAUGGGCCCUUCGGCUUUUCGCGUACGGAGCCCCUUUACGCGAUUUUCUUAAAGAACUUUUACUUUCUAUUAAUGUAUUUAACUAGUGUAAGGUUUUGCAGUUCGUUAGCGCGCGCUUCUGAGACCAUGUCGAAACUUCGGAGCUAGUGGAGCUUGAUCCUGUGGUUCUCCGUGUGAGACAAUGGCGCGCUAUUAUGAUUAUUUAAGCGGACCAUUUUAUGAACAUUGUAAGUCUAAGUUGAUAUUGAAAAGCCCGAUCUUCUGUGCUUACGCAAGUAUAUCGGCCAGUAAAGUCAGCUUACGCUUCCCAGUUGUUAGGAGCGGCCUGGUUCCCUUUCAAUUGGUAUCAGAGCCUAGGUGAUCCUUCUCGCCGAGCUCUUCAUCGUCGUCGCCAUCGUCUUCGUCGUCAUCGCGCCAUCGCGCCAUCGCGCCAUCGUCUUCGCCUUCAUCACAUCGUCUUCGCCUUCAUCACAUCGUCUUUGUCUUCGUCGUCAUCAUCGACACCGCUGACAACGUCAUCGUCGAAAUCAUCGUCUUCUUUCACAACCAUUGCUUCCACCGCCACCAAACUCGGGCGAAUCGUCUAUGGAGCCCUUCCUACGCUUCCCGAUGUAUCACCGCCCCGCUCACCCGCCCGCUCACUCUCCUGCUCCUCCGUGUCAUCCAUUCCUGAAGACCUACAUUCCCUCCGACGACAGCACGACGAUUCCCGCAGCUAUCACAGACACGAAGCUACCCACCCGCAACCGAUCCCCAGACCAACGCUAAACCGGCCACUAGGCCGUCGCCGGCAGAUACGGUCAGCCACAGCCUGCCGACGUCGUCUGCUGUGCAUACGAACAACAACGUAGCGUUUAACGUUCUUCGUCUCGCUAAAAUCGUCCGUAAGCCUGCCCGUCGUACCGGCUGCAAGCGUGCUCGUGCAGCUGCAACGUCGACAACGACGGGAGCAUGCCAGGCGAACAUUGAUUACAUCCCUUUACUCUAGCGUCUACAUCCGCCACCCUGUUUCCCGAUACCACCCUUCACCACGUCUCCACCUCGUCUCAUCUAUCAUUCGCUUCCGCCAACCAUCCGUCGCCACCUUCCACACCUGUUAAAAACCUCAUCCAACAUAUCUCCACUCCCCAUCUAGCACCCCCACCCCAACCACCGGACCACCCUUCACCACCUCGAUCCCACAUAGUUCAUCUUAUCACCCACUUUUCACAACCCCCAAGUGGACUGGCGCACCAGCACCGCCACCAGCGGCAACACCGUCAUUCCCCAUUCCCCCUGCCGCUUGCAUCCAGUAUUCCACAUCAGCCGCCUCCUCCCAUGGACGGACAACGACCCAGCGCUCUUUCCCGGCCGCCCACCACCUCCACCUGCAGCCCCUACUGCACUAGAAUCCCCGUAUGACAGUGCAGAUACCGUUGUUACAGCUGUUCGCCUAGGGUAUAACAAGCGCGCACGCCCGUCCGUCAUGUUCCUCGUGCAGUGGUCCGCAAGUAGUAAACGCGACCCCUCAUGGGAACCAUACGACGACGUGCACAACCUGCCAGCGCUUCGUGCCUUCCUGAGGAGCCCAAGCUGGACCGCGUUCAGGCUAUCAGAUCGCUAUGCGUGGUUCAGAGCCAAGUUCCCGGAGCAUGCCCCAAGGAUCGUACAGUUUUUGGCAGAGUAGAGCUGCGGCUGGAUGUGUGUGUGUGUGUCAUCAUGUGUAUUCGGUAUAUCUGUGCGUCUUCGUUCUGUUCCUGUCCGUAGAUUACACCAGUCAGUUCAACGUAGUGUGGUAUUACAUUUCACGGUGUGUUCGCGUCUGGGUAUUUGGGUUCCGUGUGGUCAGAUUUAAGUCGUUUUCGUAGCAGCUUUUGCGUAUUUCCGGAUUCUUAAGCCGGAUAUGGUAGGAGUCGUGCGCCACAUUUUAGGCCGGUAUCCAGUGCGGGGAAGGUUUUGCCUUGACUCCGGUUCCCUUUUGCCUUCCCCUCGUUAGCCUGGUACCGAUUUCGUUCAGGGAAUCGGAGAGGCGCACGACUAUGGCCGCUUAGUGACGUUUUCGCACCGAGGACGGUGCUUGUUUUUAAGGAGGGGAGUGUGUAAGGUUUUGCAGUUCGUUAGCGCGCGCUUCUGAGACCAUGUCGAAACUUCGGAGCUAGUGGAGCUUGAUCCUGUGGUUCUCCGUGUGAGACAAUGGCGCGCUAUUAUGAUUAUUUAAGCGGACCAUUUUAUGAACAUUGUAAGUCUAAGUUGAUAUUGAAAAGCCCGAUCUUCUGUGCUUACGCAAGUAUAUCGGCCAGUAAAGUCAGCUUACGCUUCCCAGUUGUUAGGAGCGGCCUGGUUCCCUUUCAAUUAGUUUCUUAUUGCUUGCAUGAUUUGCUGAGCCAGGUGUGAGAUUUUUUGAACUUAAUGUUAAGUGUGCGGCCUAGUGGAAAUACCCUGUUAGGUGUUUUGGGUGUCUUCGGUAUUUUACUUGCCUUAGCUGCUUUAGACUUAUAAGUAUAUAUGCUUUUGUGCGUAAACGUUAUAUGGUAAAUGGUCAAGAUGUAGG